rnacentral:lncRNA from 1 species
UUUGGCUGUAUGGCGUGCUCGUUUGGGUUGGGCGUCGGCUAAGAGUGAUCGGAGCGUGGAUUAACUCUAGUCUCCUAUCAGGUGUGUGCUUUCUCGCUACUCUAGCUGUAAGAUGGCUACUUCGAGCCGCGAUGGGCCGAAAGGGGUCAUGUGGCCUAAUGGGCCUACGGGCCCAAUUGGAUAAGUUGUUUGAUUGUGUAGUAAAUAUUGGAUUAGGCUAGGUGAAUCUCAUAUUUGUGGCUAGAUUUGGGCUAAAAGGGCCACACGAGCGUGUGGGCCCAUUUGGGCCGAGAAUAGGCUUUAGGCCCAUUCUUAUUGUUAUUUCUGUUUAGAAUACUUUAGUUUACCAAAUUACUGAAAUGCCCUCGAUUUGUAGAAUUACCAUUUUACCCUCGAUUUAUAGAAUUACGGUUUCACUCUCGAUUUACAAAAUUACUGUUUUACCCUCGAUUUAUAGAAUUACCAUUUUACCCUCGAUUUAUAGAAUUACUGUUUUACCCUCGAUUUACAAAAUUACCAUUUUACCCUCAAUUUACAAAAUUACCGUUUUACCCUCGAUUGUGAAAUUACUGAAAUACUCCUAUAGGAUAGAAUUACCAAAAUACCCCUAGUUUGUAAAAUUACCGAAAUACCACUGGUUUGUGAAAUUACCGAAAUACCCUCAAUUUGUAAAAUUACCAAAAUACCCUUGAUUUACACAAUUAUAGAAAUACCCUUAACUUUCUAAAAAUUAUAGAAAUACCAUUAGUUUACAAAAUUACUGAAAUACCCUUGGAUUGUAGAUUUACCAAAACACCCUUGUAGGAUGAAAUGACUAAAAUACCCCUAAUAGGUAAAAAGAUCGUAAAGCCCCUGUAGGGUAAAGUGACUGUAAUACCCUUGUAUGGUAAAAUGACGAAUAUGCCCUUAUGUUCCGUAUGACUGAUGUGCUUAGGAUUUACAUAUAUUGAUAUUGGAUUAGUUAAGUUUGAGUGACAGGUGGUGGUUAUCGUAGGAUAUUGAUUAUGGAAACGUUUCAACUUCAACCCAUAACAGGUGUGUACUAACCCUCGUAGUAGCUUAGAUUAAUAUCUGCUGAGAAGCUGAAAUGCUAAAAUACCAACAUUUCGGGAACUUGUAAUGUUGCGUGUGGGUAUAGAUGCGAUAAAUAUGAUAAGUUCGGUGUUUGGAUCGAUGGAACGGGUAAGAACUCAACUUUUUGCACGAUGGUAAGUUGGGCCUCAAUGGCCUGGAAUCGGGCCCAAUGGGCUUUCGGGCCCAUUUGGGUAAAACUGAUAGAAAAUGGAAUCUGGAAAAGUUGCAUGUUAACACGGUUAGUACUGUUUUAAAAUUUGGAUUAAGCAGGCUUAGUGGGCUAAAUCAACAUUCAUAGGGCCCAUUAGGGGUUUUGGGCUCAAAAGCCUGAAUUUGAUAAAGUGGGUUAAAGAUCAUUGUUUAAACACUCGGAAAUAUUGAUAAUUGUUGAUGAACAUGGAAAACCCUGAUAUUUGGUAAAAUUAUGAAAUUACCGUUAUAGUAUGAAAAUGACUAUUUUGCCCCUAGGUAAAAAUGACCAUUAUACCCCUAGGGUUUAAUUAUAAAUUUGAUACGUGGGAUAUGAUAUACAUGAUUGAUAUGAUAUGCACAUGAUAUGUAUAAAAUGCACAUGAUAUGUAUGAAAUGCACAUGAUGUAUUCAUAAAUGCAUUGGCUUAGGUUUUUAUAUGGAUGGAGGAAGUGCAAAAGGGCUUAUGCCCUAGUUUAUUGAGAAGGGCUUAUGCCCCAGUUUACCGAAAAGGGCUUAUGCCCCAGUUUAUUGUAAAGGGCUUUGCCCCAGUUUACCAAAAAGGGCUUUGCCCCAGUUAUUAAAAGAGGCUAGGCCUCCAGAUAUAUGAUAAAGCAGCUAUGCUGCCAGUGGUGUGUUGGUUGGUACGGGUGGAGAGUAGCGGAUGGUGGGUCGAGUAGUCUCCCCAAAUGGGCUUGCAUACAUUCAUUGGUAUUUCAUAUGAUAUUGAAAUGGGCUUGCAUACAUCCAUUAAUAUUACAUGUGAUAUUGAAAUGGGCCUAUGGGCCAUACCGUUUACAGUAAAGGCUUCGGCCCAGUGAAAUGAUUUAUGAAAAGGCUUCGGCCCAGUGAUAUGAUUUAUGAAAAGGCUUCAGCCCAGUAACCGUUAAACGAAAGGUUUCGGCCCAGUAUAUGUCAAGACUAAAUAGGGCUUUGGCCCAGAUUGUACUGAUACUGUGUUUUCACUGUUUGUAUGUUAUUGGGAUUACACACUGAGUUUUCGUAAACUCACCCCGUUUCUAACUGUGCAGGUAAUCCCUAAGCUUAAAUGGUUUGGAGCUGCGAGGGACUCGGAGAUGGCCACACUACUGUUUCUGUUUCUUUUAAUUGCAAUAAGUAGCCGAUUUAUUUCUUUAUAAGUUUUAUCUUAUUAAUAUUAUUAUUUGGUUUUGGGUUGUAAUAAGG